UGCUCAAAUUGAUUGGAUCGAAUUGCAGGUUUGAAGAGGCUAUGAUGGGAGUAGUGAACAAGUUUGUGAUUGCAUCAAUGUGCAUGUUUGCAGCUCCUCUCGCGAUUCUAUAUGGAUUCAAACACAAUUUCUUACCCGUUCCCACGGCAGAAUAGGCAGAAUACGCGAGAGAAAGAGAGGAAGACAACCCGUGCGAUUUCCUUGGCGAUUUCUUGGCGAUUCCCUUCAUAUUUCGAAAUCAUGCAAGUAUACGUGAGUUUAUAUUGGGGUGGUAGAAUAUAUCAACUUCCUCAAG